ensembl:lncRNA
CUAAUCAAAUGAGUUCUUUAAAAGCAGAGCAUGUUCUUCGGCCGCUUGCAGAAGAGGAAAUCAGAAAGUUGAAGCAUGAGGGCGAUUGAAGUGAUAGAAGUUCUCUGACACUGGCUUAAGGGCCGAGGAGGCCUUGUGACAAGGAAUGUAGGUGGCCUCUAGGUGCUGAGAAUGAUCCCUCAUUGACAGCCAUCAAGAAAACGGGGACCUCGCUCCUACAACUAUAAGGAAAUGAAUUCUGCCAACAACCAGUGAGAUGGAGAGGACCCCAUGUCCCAGAGGAGACCUCAGCCCUGGCUGGCACCUUGAUUUCAGCCCUCUGAGGCCCCAAGAAGAGAAUCCAGCCACACUAUGCCUGGAUUUUUGACCUACAGAAACUAUGUCUUCUGGGAGAGAUCACGUGUACAUGUCCCCCUCCUCAGUGUGACUAAAUGGAUCAGAGGCUUUCCUCCUCUACAGGACACUGGCCAGAAGACUACUGGAGAGUUUGAACAGGGGACCCUGCUGUCUCCCCUGUGACAUCGGCCCAGAACAAGUCCAGCUGCUGAUUGCCUGGCGGGACCCAAAAGUGCGAGUGUCACAGAAAGCAUUGAGGACUAGGCCUACAGCUCUCCCCUGUGAUGAGGCGCUGAGGGUUGGCAGCCCUUUGGCCCUUGAGGAAGAUGAGAAAGUGCGUGACUCAGAAUGUCAGAACAGGCAGUGCCCUUUGAAUCACAACAUCGACUUUGCCUUCUUACAAACAGGGCCGCUGAGCACAAGAGCAAGCAAGUGCCUUCCUCACUGUCAUAGAGCGUCUCGUGAGUGGCAGAGUCAAGACAACAACCCAGGUCCCUGGACUCCCAGGUUGGUGCUGUGCUCUUUCCACUCUCUCCUGCUGCCCUCUCAGACUCAGCAACCAAAUGUGUGUCUGGAAGUGCACUGCUUCGUAUGUCAGCCAGACUGACCUUUACGUUCCCAGAAUCAUCAACCCUUUGUGGAAACCAUGGAAAGACGGUGCUGGAAAAAUAAUGACAAGCAUACCACGCUGUGGAGACAACCAGAAGCCCUGCUCAGACUGUGGAGUCCUCCUCACCUUCCAAGUACUGAAUCCCAAAUAUAUAUACAAGCAGCAACUCAGGUGGGCCUAAGAAAUAAGGAGGUGGAAAACCAGACGUCUGACAAUUCAGCCAGUUCUCUUUCUCUUUUGCCUCCCACCCCGAUCUCCAAACUGGGGCUGAUUUCUACAGUAUCAAGACAUUCGUUACUCAGUUCCUGAGAGGAACCAGCUCCUAGGAGGUGGCCCAGCCCAGGACUGCUAGAGGCCUUGGGACUUUCUGCCAAGGCCCAAUCUGGCCUCAGGAGAACACGACUCUUGGGACUCACACAGGAAACAUUCCCUCUUUCCCUCUUCUUAGCACCUCUUCACCUAACAAGGUUCCUCUGAGACUUGUGGGAUCCCCUGCUUUCCCUAAAGACAGUUUUCUUCCACUGUUAGGGGCCCUGAUUUAUGAAAUGAAUCAUGAGAGAUUCAUUUCUUUGUUUAUCUUACAGCAUGAGGGGUGGAGGAAAGACUUGUAAAGGCAAAUAUCCUCCAGUGAGCUGGAGUAUGUAUUCACACUAGAAUGUUAGUGACAUAUUAGAGCUCAGAAGCUGGACUUUACAGCUCCAUCCUGUCCCUUCUUUUGCUCUGCCACUACCAACUUGACUGCCCCUUUCUCUGAGAGUUGGACUGUGUGUGUGCAUGUGUGUGUGCACACACAGGUGUGUAUGUGUUCCUUUUCAUGACCUAAAUGAGUACAUUCUGCUUGUUCCCUGUACUGGUUACCACCCCCCACUCCCACCAAAGGCCCUUUCCCAUGUUCCCAUCCCAUGAAUCUCUCCUAGAGCAGAAACUCCAGAGUUAGCUGCUAGGGGCAUGAAUGUGUGACCCACCUGUUCCAGAAGUGUUUUCCCGGGGACCCACUAAAUGCCAUUACAAUGGUGUAAUGGCAGAGGGGUCCUCAUAUGGCACCAUGAGGAGAGCCACCU